UUUAGAAUUAAACGGCUGCGGUACUCUGACCGUGCAAAGGUAGCAUAAUCAUUAGCCUGCUAAUUUCAGGCUGGAAUCAAUGGCAAGACGAAGAAAAAGCUGUCUCUUUACAUUUUAUUUGAAUUUUUCGUUUUGGUUAAGAGACCAAGAUAAUUUAGUGGGACGAGAAGACCCUAUUGAGCUUUAAUUUUAAAUUAGUGGAAGAGUCUAGUAUUAGGUUUUGGUUGGGGCAACGGUUUUUUUAAUUGGACAAAAGGGAUAGAGAAAUGAAUUAAUUCUUGUUUUGACCCAAGUGACAUAUUUUGGUAAAUAGAAAAAGUUACCAUAGGGAUAACAGCGUAAUUCUUUUUGAGAGUACUUAUUGACAAAAGAGUUUGCGACCUCGAUGUUGGAUCAGGUUUACCUAGAGGUGCAGCAGCUUCUAAGGGUUGGUUUGUUCAACCAUAAAAAACUUACGUGAUCUGAG
rnacentral:rRNA from 1 species